UACGGAGGGUGCGAGCGUUGUCCGGAAUCAUUGGGCGUAAAGGGCGCGUAGGCGGCUUGGCAAGUGGAAGGUGAAAUCCCUCGGCUCAACUGAGGAACUGCCUUCCAGACUGCUUUGCUUGAGUCCGGAAGAGGGGCGUGGAAUUCCUGGUGUAGCGGUGAAAUGCGUAGAGAUCAGGAGGAACACCCGUGGCGAAGGCGGCGCCCUGGUCCGUUACUGACGC
rnacentral:rRNA from 1 species